UGGCCAAGAUUAAAGCAGAUCAGUGCCAUACAAUGAGGAAGAGCGGUACACUCUCAGUGCUGCAAUGCAGGCUUAUUGAACUUACUGUCCUUGACAAGUGUCGUUUAAUGUUCUUUAUUGGGAGUUUUUUGAAGUUUAUGGGCAAGACCAAUGAAGCAGAAGAGUUGUUCUUGAGUGUUGAGGACAUGUUAGUACAGAGCCAGUCCAUGACAGACAUGCUUCUCAAAGUACAGAAUGCUAUUGGAGAACUGUAUCUUGAAACUGGAAUGACUCAGGAAGAGUUCCAGUAUUUCCAGAAAGCAUGGUCAAGCAUGCUGCGUCUUUCACUCAGUGACUUAGAAGACAGCCGGGACUUGGUGAAGCAGAAAGUCAGAGUUUUGAACAAAUCUGGCAAAGUCAGCAUCUGAAGAAUACUUAAAAGAAAACCACAUUUUGGAAUAUGCAACUGAAAUUUCCAACUUACUGGAUAAUAAUCCCCGUGAUCAAGCUACCAUGAAAUACAUCGAAGGUGUUCUAAUGUUCGUUGCUGGAAAUACCUCUCUUGCAAAAAUGAAACUUCGAGAGUGCUUAAAUAUCAGGAAAAGCUUGUUUGGCCAGAAAAACAUGCUGGUUGGAGAAGUUAUGGAAUUUUUAGCGGAUUUGCUAUUUUUUUCCCCAGAGAGAUAGUAAAAAAUUCCAAAGGAAGCAAGUACUUAAAUAUUAUAAACAAGUGAUAAAAAUAAAGGAAAAUGCAGAAACUCUGGCCAAGUCCUCACUCCUCAGGAAGCAACUGAGCAUCAGCCUCAGCGAUACGUUGUGUAAAUUAGCCUUCUGAGAGAAAUUGAGUGGAUCCGGAGCCGGAGAUGUUGGCCUCAAGGUAUGAGCCAGCAACAUUCUGAGGGUUCUAGGAAUGGCUUCUCAUUAUGGAAGCACUUGGUUAAAUUAAACUACCACAGUGCUCAGAGUUCUAAUACAGUGAGCUCUGCAAUGUGCAUGAAUGCAGAUAAAUUACACAGGGCUAGAAGAAUGGACUUGGCACCUCAGACAAUUUCAGAUAAAUCAAAAUGUGCUCCUGGAAAAGGGAAAAAGAAACCCAUUAUUUGCAUAUCUGCCGAGGAAAAGAUACAACGGAAGACACAAAAUAAUGCUGAAAUAUGGAAUGGCUCAGGAAAGGAAGCCUCAAAGAAAAAGACAGACUAUUCCUCUAACAUUUUAUCUUUGGGUAAAAUGAAUGGUUUAAUAAAGCUUUCAAGGCAAAGAAUUUUGUUAGCUAAAAGCGAGAGUGGAGAAGGCGAAAUCACCACCAUUUACCACCAUCCCCUGCCAUGGCCUGUUAGCACAAAAAACCCUGGGGAAUCUGAGUUCAUAUCAGAAAAGUGGCUUUUUCAUAGCCCAGAUUAUAUUUCAAUAUCUCAGAAGUCUUUUUUGCAGAGAAGACUUCACAUUGAAACAAAACUGUUGAAGACCUCAAAUGAUAUUAAUAAAGAAUAAAAAUGUA
rnacentral:sRNA from 1 species